GGUAAGGUGGCCGAAAAAGGUGUUGAGUUGUAGCCUCAGCGAUAAGGGUUUAAUCCUUUUCUUACCA
rnacentral:tRNA from 1 species